UACGGAGGGAGCUAGCGUUGUUCGGAAAUACUGGGCGUAAAGCGAACGUAGGCGGCAAUUCAAGUCAGGGGUGAAAUCCCGGAGCUCAACUCCGGAACUGCCCUUGAAACUGGAUCGCUAGAAUCCUGGAGAGGCGAGUGGAAUUCCGAGUGUAGAGGUGAAAUUCGUAGAUAUGCGGAAGAACACCAGUGGCGAAGGCGGCUCGCUGGACAGGUAUUGACGCUGAGGUUCGAAAGCGUGGGGAGCAAACAGG
rnacentral:rRNA from 1 species